rnacentral:rRNA from 1 species
UGCGAUACAGUAAUGUGAAUUGCAGAAUUCAGUGAAUCAUCGAGUCUUUGAACGCACAUUGCGCCCCCUGGCAUUCCGGGGGGCAUGCCUGUCCGAGCGUCAUUGCUGCCCUCAAGCCCGGCUUGUGUGUUGGGUCGUCGUCCCCCCCGGGGGACGGGCCCGAAAGGCAGCGGCGGCACCGUGUCCGGUCCUCGAGCGUAUGGGGCUUUGUCACCCGCUCGAUUAGGGCCGGCCGGGCGCCAGCCGGCGUCUCCAACCUUAUUUUUCUCAGGUUGACCUCGGAUCAGGUAGGGAUACCCGCUGAACUUAAGCAUAUCAAUAAGCGGAGGAAAAGAAACCAACCGGGAUUGCCUCAGUAACGGCGAGUGAAGCGGCAAGAGCUCAAAUUUGAAAGCUGGCCCCUUCGGGGUCCGCGUUGUAAUUUGCAGAGGAUGCUUCGGGUGCGGCCCCUGUCUAAGUGCCCUGGAACGGGCCGUCAGAGAGGGUGAGAAUCCCGUCUUGGGCAGGGUGCCCGUGCCCGUGUGAAGCUCCUUCGACGAGUCGAGUUGUUUGGGAAUGCAGCUCUAAAUGGGUGGUAAAUUUCAUCUAAAGCUAAAUACCGGCCGGAGACCGAUAGCGCACAAGUAGAGUGAUCGAAAGAUGAAAAGCACUUUGAAAAGAGAGUUAAACAGCACGUGAAAUUGUUGAAAGGGAAGCGCUUGCGACCAGACUCGGCCCCGGGGUUCAGCCAGCACUCGUGCUGGUGUACUUCCCCGGGGGCGGGCCAGCGUCGGUUUGGGCGGCCGGUCAAAGGCCCCAGGAAUGUAUCGCCCUCCGGGGUUGUCUUAUAGCCUGGGGUGCAAUGCGGCCAGCCCGGACCGAGGAACGCGCUUCGGCACGGACGCUGGCGUAAUGGUCGCAAACGACCCGUCUUGAAACACGGACCAAGGAGUCUAACAUCUACGCGAGUGUUCGGGUGUCAAACCCGUACGCGCAGUGAAAGCGAACGGAGGUGGGAGCCCCCCCGGGGCGCACCAUCGACCGAUCCUGAUGUCUUCGGAUGGAUUUGAGUAAGAGCGUAGCUGUGGGGACCCGAAAGAUGGUGAACUAUGCCUGAAUAGGGCGAAGCCAGAGGAAACUCUGGUGGAGGCUCGCAGCGGUUCUGACGUGCAAAUCGAUCGUCAAAUUUGGGUAUAGGGGCGAAAGACUAAUCGAACCAUCUGGUAGCUGGUUCCUGCCGAAGUUUCCCUCAGGAUAGCAGUAACGCGGAUCAGUUUUAUGAGGUAAAGCGAAUGAUUAGAGGCAUUGGGGUUGAAACAACCUUAACCUAUUCUCAAACUUUAAAUAUGUAAGAAGCCCUUGUUGCUUAGUGAACGUGGGCAU